CUUGAUGACAACUUGUUUGAAGGACUUUGCUACAUCUUUCAUUUUGAGGUUGGAACACAUAGCUUCAAACUCGUCCAAUGACAACUUUCCUCGGUGGGCCGCAUUUGACGAAUCUGUCAAAAUUUAACGGUAUUAAGGUUCAGGAAUUGGGCGAGGCAGGGGCCUACCUCGGGUACGCGGUGUGGGUCGAGGACGAGGUCGACCACUCGACACGGAUGAGAGCGCCGUGAAUUGUAGGUGUAAAGUUCAACCAUAUUUUGUGUCAUACAACAAUUUUAAAAUUGCUGUAUUUUGUCAAAAACAGUGACUACAAUUGAUGUGGAGGUCCCCAAGAUGCAAGAAAUAUGGGACAAAACAUUCUUACUCUUCUUCAACGAAAACGAAAGGGAAACAAUCCUGAUACAGACUGCGUCAUCCCAUCAGCCAAAUCCACCCGAUUUAAUGAUCGCUACUUCAAACGGCAAUUUUAAAAUUGAUCCGUUCUUUUGUAACACGGUAGUAACGGUAUUCGUAAAAGUAUCCGUCUCAAAUGUCAAUUAACAUGUCAACUUGUCCAAAUUCAUUGAGCAAUAAAAAAUCUGUCCUG